rnacentral:rRNA from 1 species
GACGAACGCUGGCGGCGUGCUUAACACAUGCAAGUCGAACGGAAAGGCCCUGCUUUUGUGGGGUGCUCGAGUGGCGAACGGGUGAGGAACACGUGAGUAACCUGCCCUGGACUUUGGGAUAACUUCAGGAAACUGGGGCUAAUACCGGAUAGGAGCUCCUGCUGCAUGGUGGGGGUUGGAAAGUUUCGGCGGUUGGGGAGGGACUCGCGGCUUAUCAGCUUGUUGGUGGGGUAGUGGCUUACCAAGGCUUUGACGGGUAGCCGGCCUGAGAGGGUGACCGGCCACAUUGGGACUGAGAUACGGCCCAGACUCCUACGGGAGGCAGCAGUGGGGAAUAUUGCACAAUGGGCGGAAGCCUGAUGCAGCAACGCCGCGUGCGGGAUGACGGCCUUCGGGUUGUAAACCGCUUUCGCCUGUGACGAAGCGUGAGUGACGGUAAUGGGUAAAGAAGCACCGGCUAACUACGUG